UGACAACCUGUUGAACUGAAUUAUUCCUCUCCUCCGAAAAGCUGAUCAGCCAUGGACAUUCUGGAAUUGCGACUGUGGAAUAUAUUUCUAUUGGCUCUUUAUUGCUUUGAAUGCAGAGCUGAGGACUCCGUUGAUCAGCUAGGAGGAUUUCUAACAGCUUCUGAGGGAGGUUCAGUAACUCUGCCCUGCAAUUACACCAGCACCAGCCUAGCAACAAAGUAUCUGUUCUGGUACCAGCAGAAACCUAAUGGAUUCCCUGUAUACAUGCUGAGACGGUUCUCAGACAUGGGCGAUAACGAUGAAAGUUUUAAGAAGAGAUUUGAGGCCAAUCUCACCUCAAACACGGUUCCUUUGAACAUCCAGAAUUUGCAAGUGUCUGACUCUGCUGUGUACUACUGUGCUCUGAGUCGGAAUGGGGGU